rnacentral:rRNA from 1 species
UCGAGAAUCUUCCGCAAUGGGCGAAAGCCUGACGGAGCAAUGCCGCGUGCAGGAUGAAGGUCUUCGGAUUGUAAACUGCUGUCAUCGGGGACGAAUAAAUGACGGUACCCGGAGAGGAAGCCACGGCUAACUACGUGCCAGCAGCCGCGGUAAUACGUAGGUGGCGAGCGUUGUUCGGCUUUAUUGGGCGUAACGGGUUCGUAGGGGGCUGAUCAAGGCUGAUGUGAAAGCCCGAAGCUCAACUUCGGAAUUGCAUUGGAAACUAGUCGGCUAGAGUCUCGGAGAGGAGAGUGGAAUUCCUGGUGUAGCGGUGGAAUGCGUAGAUAUCAGGAGGAACACCUACAGCGAAGGCAGCUCUCUGGACGAGUGCUGACCCUGAGGAACGAAAGCGUGGGGAGCAAACA